CAAGUAGUAUGGAUGAGUCAUAAUCGUCACCGGUCAUUCGUCAACAUUAUUGCGAGUUUUUGUCGUUUUAUCGAAUCGCAUUUGAGAAAUAUUUCCUGAUUUCCUUGUGAAAUAUGUAUAAAUAUGGAGGAGAACCAUCCCCUAACCAUUCUCAAUCUUUACUCGACACCGAAUCGUACCGACUUCAAGUCCUCACCGAACCGACACCAUGCUGAAGGUAUUGUUUCUCCUGUCCUGCCUGGUGGCUAAUGGGCUCUGCCAUUACUACGGAAAUUCCUACGGCUAUGGUUUGGGAUCAGGGUUAGACAAUGGAUUCGGAAGUGGUCUUGGACUUCUUGGUGGUGGAUAUGGAUAUGGAAACGGAUACGGAAAUUACUAUGGUCGCGGGGGAUACGGACUUGGAGGCUACGGACGUGGAGGCUACGGACGUGGAUACGGAAACAGGUGGAUGAGACGACGGGGUUCCGUAUUUGGUGGAUAUUAAACAAUAGAAUUUCCAGAUUCAUCACACUCUCCUUCAUGCUUUACCAUUUAAUUUAUUGCCAAAAAUUAUUUUCACUUAAUAAAAUGUGUUUGUUAAAUGGAA